CCUACGGGCGGCAGCAGUAGGGAAUUUUCGUCAAUGGGCGCAAGCCUGAACGAGCGAUGCCGCGUGAGUGAAGAAGGCCUUCGGUUCGUAAAGCUCUGUUGCGGGGGAAAAAAGGCAGCGUCAGGGAAUGGGUGCUGACUGAUGGUGCCCCGCCAGAAAGUCACGGCGAACUAAGUGCCAGCAGCCGCGGUAAUACGUAGGUGGCGAGCGUUAUCCGGAAGGAUUGGGCGUAAAGGGUGCGCAGGCGGUACUGCAAGUCUGGAGUGAAACGCAUGAGCUCAACUCAUGCAUGGCUUGGGAAACUGGACGACUGGAGAGCAGGAGAGGGCAGUGGAACUCCAUGUGUAGCGGUAAAAUGCGUAGAUAUAUGGAAGAACACCAGUGGCGAAGGCGGCCGCCUGGCCUGUUGCUGACGUUGAGGCACGAAAGCGUGGGGAGCAAACAGGAUUAGAUACCCUGGUAGUC
rnacentral:rRNA from 1 species